CAGAGUAGAAGCCGGAGCGUAAAGUGUUUUUUGAACGGGGAGUUGUCAAAAAAACGAAGGGUUUUGUCCUGCGGUUACGGUUUCGCAUCCCGCUGU
rnacentral:ncRNA from 1 species